GCCUUGGCUGGGCGGUCCACCUUUGGAUGGCACUGCUCUGGUCGUGGCUUACCUUUCUGGUGAGCCGUCAUGCCCUUUGUUGGGUGUGGCGGGGAACCAGGACUUUUACCUUGAAAAAAUUAGAGUGUUUAAAGCAGGCAAAAUGCUUGAAUACAUUAGCAUGGAAUAAUGAAAUAGGACCUCGGUUCUAUUUUGUUGGUUUCUAGGACCGACGUA
rnacentral:rRNA from 1 species